UUUGUCCCAGCCAAGGAGCUCAAUGUAGCCUCUGACACUCUCAGCACUGCCCUGCAAUCUUGAAAAAGGAGUAAAAGGACUGCCUUCUUUCUGUUCCAUCCCUUGCAGUGGCACUUUCAACUUAAGCAACUCUCAGCCCAAAUUGGACUUUUUACAAUCCCAUCAGGCAAAACAAGACAACAAGGCACUUGGCGUAAGUUUUGAAGGAGUCACUUGGCUUUAAGGAAUUCAUCCUACAGAGAUACCUGUGGUUCCUGCUCCUCUGGGCUUCAGCAGAAUGAACAGCGUGCAGAGACUAAGGCCUAGUGUGACCUGUUUCAAAGUUCAGGAUACAAACAUGGUAGAGUCCUCCAGAAGCAGAUGCUGAGAUGGAGCUCAGAGUGCAAGCUGUUACCUGUGAAGGGCGAGGCAGAGGGAGAAAUGAAACCAUGAUGAAGGCCCUGCAAAACCUCGACCAACCAGCUGAGUUACUACUCUGUAUUGACUGUGAGGUCUUUCCCAAGAUUGGUCAAAAUAGCCAGGCUUUGUAUGCAACCUUGCUCAGUCACUAAUGCGGGCUGAGCCAUGAAGGGCAUGACCUCAGGGGCGGCAGGUCUGUGUAGCUGAGGCAGACUCUAAAGAAGCUGACAGGUGGGGACCAUCUGAUGACCACACUCGCUGUAGCUGGGCAUCCAGUCAUUCCCUGAGGAGAAACAUAAGUGGCACUUCUCUGUCCACCUCACCCUCUUUGACUCUGCUUUCUUUCCUAUGUGCUGGCUUCAUUCUGAAGCUUUUCCAAAGUUAUGGUGAACGUGUUCACCCAAAGUUUCAGACUUAUGUUUUACCAGCUGGGAAGCUUUAGAGGAAGAAUCUCUCUUACAAAAGUUCCAGUUAAUGUCCUGAGAUUGCAUAUUAUACAUUUGGCUUGGGGUCAGGAGCUCACUUCCAGCGCCAGGGUCCAAGGUUAGCCUCACCUAUAACGAAUGGACUGAGAGCGAGAGUGAAGAGAUUCCCUAAAGGCACAUUAUGGUACUGUUACCAAACAAAGGGUGUUAGGGAGUGGGAAACAGAUGUCUUCUACCCUGAUGCAGCUCAGGUACUCAUGCACUCUGGGGCCUUUCUAGAGCAGCCUGGAAGUCCCUAAGGAGUUGUGGGACUGCAUUUAAUUUUAGGUAGAGGAUCUCAAAGAGCAUUGUUAACAUUCACAGAAACCCUCAUCAUUUUGGAAGACAUGACCUUGAAUUCUUUCUAAGUAAAAGAAUUCAUGAUAUUAUAACAUAAAAUUAUUACAAAUUCCUCUCUCCCUUUCUACCAAUUGUACCAAUUUUCUGAAGCUCCAUUUGCUUUCUUUUUAUUUGUGAUAGUGUGGAGAAUAACUGUGGGAUUCUGCAAAAUGCUGAAUGGGAAAGUAGCACAAGAACACAAUAACAAAGAGCCUUUCAUGCUGCAAGGAAGAGUACUCCUGUUGGCAUGGAGAACCUCUAACACUGGGACUGCAAAAUGGCAAACCUGUGAAAAGAAAGAGAUUUCUAUAUUCAGAAAUACAGGAUACAUUUAAAGUAGUGUCAGUUUAAUGUGUGUGUGUGUGUGUGUGUGUGUAUAGACACAUGAUUUGUUUGUCUCUGUAAGUAUGUACAAAUCUUUUAUUUAAAACCUCUUUGGUUGGGUUUAUGAAAGGUUUCUCUCUUUGGAGUGCUGAGUUUGUCUUAAAUAUAAUAAACCAAGGCUUAUACUCAGGGAGCACAUGUCAAAACAGCCACACUACUUGUUAAAUAUUGAAAUAUUUUUCUACCGGUUGGGAAAUGGUAUAGUAGUAAAUGUGAAGGUGAUAAGUUCUAAAAUUAACUAACGAAUUUCAGCACAUGUGGUUUUUCUCAGAAACCACACGCCACUGUGAUUCCAAGAUUUUUAAAAAUUGUUCUGGUCUGGGCACUGGAGCACAGAACUGGAAGGCCCAUUGAAGAGAUCCUGUUAUUUAUUUCAGGUGUUGAGGAAUUUCUUUUGGGUUCAAAUGUCCCUGGUUGGGAGAAGGGAAAUCACACAGUCACAUUGAGGAGAAGCUUGGUGACGGUUGAAUAGUUUGGGAGAAGCCUGGGGCACAGACAGCACAAGUGGGGCUUAAAUCACUCAAGUAUGAUUGGGACAGUUUGCUUUACUGGAAAACUCUUCCCUGGUGGUACUGACCAUCCCUGCACCAUGUGCAGAGGUUUAUGAGAAGGGGAUCUCCUGGGAUCCCUUUCAAAGGUCAAAAGAAUGUGAAAUGCAAGCAGUAACCAUGAGACCCUUCCUCUGUCCCCUCCCUACUGCUCAUGGCCAGUUCUCCCCAUGGAGGAACCUCAAGAUACCCUGGCCCUCCCAUCCCUGCCCCUGUCUGCUCCUACAACUCUUCCAAGCACUGGUGCUGGCUGAGUCUGGAAGCAAUUGCCCUUUCUCUUUACCUCUUCUCUCCUGUCUUGCGUUUGUCCUGCUUAUUAACUGGGCUUCAACCAGCUGUCUCCAUCCCAGCACCAGUUGUUUCCUGACUGGACUUUUCAGAGAGGCAACCAUCUCGCCCUGCUUGCAUGGAACAAAGCAGACAAAACAUUCAGAUUCUUAACUCAGGUAACUAGAAUUGGCCAAUAACCACCCCCCUUGUCCCCUCCCCCUACCUCUCUUUUGUUUUAAUAGGAUUUAUUAUUAUUUAGGAUGGUAAGGCCAACAUAUCAGGAGACAAUGGCCAUUGGAAAAAAUUAUUAUUAUACACACAGAUCCCAAGUGAGAGAAUACAGGUCAUGCCACUGAGGGCCACAAGGAAGCACCAGGCAGUCAGGAGGCAGAGCGAAAAAACUGUGGGCAAGAGCCUUUAUCAUGUUUUCCCUAGGCAGGGUAAACAGGUUUGGGAUUGACGAGUCUGAAUCAUUUCAGUGGACUUUGGAGCAUAGCGGCCGUCCCAGCUGUCUCACAUCUGGCCCUGAAGUGAUUAGGGCUGGUGGGCUGUGGCCAGGAGUGUGAGAGCCUAAUAAGGGAGGUGGUGAGAAGUGUAGACUCUGAAUCGGUUGGUUUGUAUUUGAAAAGAGUGGCCCUGGGAGGAUGAUUCCUCCUGAGGGGGAAGAAAGCAAAGGAGGCCAAGGCAAGUGACUCAGCGAAAUUACCAGGUUGUUUGGAAUAAGGUAUCUCUGGUACGUGCACGUAAGGCAGAUUUUAAAUCAUCAAGUUUACAGAAACUAGAAACAUGAUUAAUACACUCUUUCCCUCUCAUCCAUUUUUUUUUUUCUCCUCCUCUGGCUUUCCAACUUCUAUCAAUAAAGUUAUGACAAAGGGCCACUCUCUUCUGCUAUUAUUUGAUGGUGGUUGGAGAGAGAUUCAUUUUAAUGGAGAAGUCUUUGGAAGAACUUUAUAUGUAAAAUCUCAGCUAAGAAAGGAGCAUCAUUUAGCUCUGUCAACCAAAAAUUACACUAAUGAUUUUAAAAUCAUAGAAUGACUUGAUGAAUGAAUUUUACUAAAAUUUGAAUACUUGGUAAGCAAGAUAUACAGGUAUAGAGAAUACAGUUGGCCCUUAAACCACACAGUUUUGAAUUACGUGGGUAAUUCAAAACUAUUGAAAAAAAUGCGGAUCUUUUUCAAUAGUAAAUACUACAGUACUACAUGAUCCAUGGUUGAUUGAAUCUGGGGAUGCAGAACGUUGAAUUAUGAGGAAACGUGGAUACAGAGGAACCAAGGAUACAGAGGGCCGACUAUAAAUUUUACGUGGAUUUUGGAAGGUUGGCCCCCCUAACUCCCGUGGUGUUCAAGGGUCAACUCCAUAUAUUUAGAGACUAGAAGAAUAUAUAUUUUUACAGCCUUGAUUUAUAUAUUAAAACUAUAAACUCUGUAUUGUAUA